GGGUGAAGGAACUAGGCAAAAUGGUGCCGUAACUUCGGGAGAAGGCACGCUGACACGUAGGUGAAGUGAUUUACUCAUGGAGCUGAAGUCAGUCGAAGAUACCAGCUGGCUGCAACUGUUUAUUAAAAACACAGCACUGUGCAAACACGAAAGUGGACGUAUACGGUGUGACGCCUGCCCGGUGCCGGAAGGUUAAUUGAUGGGGUCAGCGCAAGCGAAGCUCCUGAUCGAAGCCCCGGUAAACGGCGGCCGUAACUAUAACGGUCCUAAGGUAGCGAAAUUCCUUGUCGGGUAAGUUCCGACCUGCACGAAUGGCGUAAUGAUGGCCAGGCUGUCUCCACCCGAGACUCAGUGAAAUUGAACUCGCUGUGAAGAUGCAGUGUACCCGCGGCAAGACGGAAAGACCCCGUGAACCUUUACUAUAGCUUGACACUGAACAUUGAGCCUUGAUGUGUAGGAUAGGUGGGAGGCUUUGAAGUGUGGACGCCAGUCUGCAUGGAGCCGACCUUGAAAUACCACCCUUUAAUGUUUGAUGUUCUAACGUGGACCCGUGAUCCGGGUUGCGGACAGUGUCUGGUGGGUAGUUUGACUGGGGCGGUCUCCUCCUAAAGAGUAACGGAGGAGCACGAAGGUUGGCUAAUCCUGGUCGGACAUCAGGAGGUUAGUGCAAUGGCAUAAGCCAGCUUGACUGCGAGCGUGACGGCGCGAGCAGGUGCGAAAGCAGGUCAUAGUGAUCCGGUGGUUCUGAAUGGAAGGGCCAUCGCUCAACGGAUAAAAGGUACUCCGGGGAUAACAGGCUGAUACCGCCCAAGAGUUCAUAUCGACGGCGGUGUUUGGCACCUCGAUGUCGGCUCAUCACAUCCUGGGGCUGAAGUAGGUCCCAAGGGUAUGGCUGUUCGCCAUUUAAAGUGGUACGCGAGCUGGGUUUAGAACGUCGUGAGACAGUUCGGUCCCUAUCUGCCGUGGGCGCUGGAGAACUGAGGGGGGCUGCUCCUAGUACGAGAGGACCGGAGUGGACGCAUCACUGGUGUUCGGGUUGUCAUGCCAAUGGCACUGCCCGGUAGCUAAAUGCGGAAGAGAUAAGUGCUGAAAGCAUCUAAGCACGAAACUUGCCCCGAGAUGAGUUCUCCCUGAGACUUUAGGUCUCCUGAAGGAACGUUGAAGACGACGACGUUGAUAGGCCGGGUGUGUAAGCGCAGCGAUGCGUUGAGCUAACCGGUACUAAUGAACCGUGAGGCUUAACCUUACA
rnacentral:rRNA from 1 species